rnacentral:tRNA from 1 species
GGGCGUGUAGCUCAGCGGAAGAGCAUCUCGUUUACACCGAGACGGUCGGGGGUUCGAUCCCCUCCGCGCCCA